rnacentral:tRNA from 1 species
GCAAUUAGCUCAGUUGGUUCAGAGCACCUGCCUUACAAGCAGGGGGUCGGGGGUUCGAAUCCCUCAUUGCCC